AUUGAACGCUGGCGGCAUGCUUUACACAUGCAAGUCGAACGGUAACAGGUCGUCGGAUGCUGACGAGUGGCGAACGGGUGAGUAAUACAUCGGAACGUGCCCAGUCGUGGGGGAUAACUACUCGAAAGAGUGACUAAUACCGCAUGAGAUCUACGGAUGAAAGCAGGGGAUCGCAGGGCCUUGUGCUACUAGAGCGGCCGAUGGCAGAUUAGGUAGUUGGUGGGAUAAAAGCUUACCAAGCCGACGAUCUGUAGCUGGUCUGAGAGGACGAUCAGCCACACUGGGACUGAGACACGGCCCAGACUCCUACGGGAGGCAGCAGUGGGGAAUUUUGGACAAUGGGCGCAAGCCUGAUCCAGCAAUGCCGCGUGCAGGAUGAAGGCCUUCGGGUUGUAAACUGCUUUUGUACGGAACGAAAAGCCCUGGGUUAAUACCCUGGGGUCAUGACGGUACCGUAAGAAUAAGCACCGGCUAACUACGUGCCAGCCGCCGCAGUAA
rnacentral:rRNA from 1 species